CUCGUAGGCGGUUGAGUAAGUCGGGUGUGAAAAACUCUGGGCUUAACCCGGAGACGCCAUCCGAUACUGCUCUGACUAGAGUUCAGGAGGGGAGUGGGGAAUUCCUAGUGUAGCGGUGAAAUGCGCAGAUAUUAGGAGGAACACCGGUGGCGAAGGCGCCACUCUGGACUGAAACUGACGCUGAGGAGCGAAAGCAUGGGUAGCAAACA
rnacentral:rRNA from 1 species